AGUGAACGCUGGCGGUAGGCCUAACACAUGCAAGUCGAACGGCAGCACAGUAAGAGCUUGCUCUUACGGGUGGCGAGUGGCGGACGGGUGAGGAAUACAUCGGAAUCUACUUUUUCGUGGGGGAUAACGUAGGGAAACUUACGCUAAUACCGCAUACGACCUACGGGUGAAAGCAGGGGAUCUUCGGACCUUGCGCGAUUGAAUGAGCCGAUGUCGGAUUAGCUAGUUGGCGGGGUAAAGGCCCACCAAGGCGACGAUCCGUAGCUGGUCUGAGAGGAUGAUCAGCCACCCUGGAACUGAGACACGGUCCAGACUCCUACGGGAGGCAGCAGUGGGGAAUAUUGGACAAUGGGCGCAAGCCUGAUCCAGCCAUACCGCGUGGGUGACGAAGGCCUUCGGGUUGUAAAGCCCUUUUGUUGGGAAAGAAAAGCAGCAGGUUAAUACCCCGCUGUUCUGACGGUACCCAAAGAAUAAGCACCGGCUAACUUCGUG
rnacentral:rRNA from 1 species